AUAAGCUAAUUAAGGGCGUAUGGGGAAUGCCUAGGCUCUCAGAGGCGAAGAAGGACGUGAUAAGCUGCGAAAAGCUACGGGGACUGGCACAUACAGAUUGAUCCGUAGAUAUCCGAAUGGGGCAACCCGGUAUAUUGAAGAUAUAUCACUCCGUAAGGAGGGCAAACCCGGAGAACUGAAACAUCUAAGUACCCGGAGGAGAAGAAAACAACAGUGAUUCCGCUAGUAGUGGCGAGCGAACGCGGAGCAGCCCAAACCUAUAUAGCUACGGCUAUAUAGGGGUUAUAGGACUACAAUAUUUGAUAAGGAUUGAAUUAGAAAUGUUUGGAAAGACAUACCAUAGAGGGUGAUAGUCCCGUAUAGGUAAGCUUCUUAUUGAUAGUAGUAUCCUGAGUAGGUCGGGACACGUGUAAUCCUGAUUGAAUUUGGCGGGCCCAUCCGCUAAGGCUAAAUACUCCUGAGAGACCGAUAGUGAACCAGUACCGUGAGGGAAAGGUGAAAAGAACCCUAAAUAAGGGAGUGAAAAAGAUCCUGAAACCAUACGCUUACAAGCGGUCGGAGCCUAUUAAGGUGACGGCGUGCCUUUUGCAUAAUGAGCCUACGAGUUACUUUAUCUAGCAAGGUUAAGGUGUUCAGCACUGUAUCCGUAGCGAAAGCGAGUCUGAAUAGGGCGUUUAAGUUAGGUUGAGUAGACGCGAAACCGUGUGAUCUACCCUUGGGCAGGUUGAAGCUUUGUUAACCCAAAGUGGAGGACCGAACCCGUUGACGUUGAAAAGUCUUGGGAUGACCUGAGGGUAGGGGUGAAAGGCCAAUCAAACUCGGAAAUAGCUCGUACUCCCCGAAAUGCAUUUAGGUGCAGCGUUGAUAUAGUUUUAUAGAGGUAGAGCUACUGAUUGGAUGCGGGGGCUUCACCGCCUACCAAUUCCUGACAAACUCCGAAUGCUAUAAAAUGUUUAUCAGCAGUGAGGGCAUGGGUGCUAAGGUCCAUGUCCGAGAGGGAAAGAACCCAGACCAUCAGCUAAGGUCCCUAAAUAUAUGUUAAGUUGAAUAAACGCGGUUGAACUGCUUAGACAGCUAGGAUGUUGGCUUGGAAGCAGCCAUUCAUUUAAAGAGUGCGUAACAGCUCACUAGUCGAGCGGUUUGGCAUGGAUAAUAAUCGGGCAUAAACAUAUUACCGAAGCUAUGGACAGAAAUAUCUGUGGUAGGGGAGCAUUGUAGUUGCGUUGAAGGUGAGAGGCGAUUCUUGCUGGAGUAUCUACAAAAGAAAAUGUAGGCAUAAGUAACGAUAAGGCAGGCGAGAAACCUGCCCACCGAAAGACUAAGGUUUCCUCAGCUAUGCUAAUCAGCUGAGGGUUAGUCGGGCCCUAACGCGAACCCGAAAGGGGUAGUGGAUGGACAACAGGUUAAUAUUCCUGUACCUGCACCACGUUAAAAGUGACGUAGGCGAGAAGUUAACGCGUACUGACGGAAUAGUACGUUGAAGGGAGUAGUAAUACCCUGAUAGUACACAGAGACUUCGGUUAAUGUGAUAGUUUAGCGAAUCGACUACCAAGAAAAGCGAGUGGCUGCAGCCCGUACCGUAAACCGACACAGGUAGUUGGGAUGAGAAUUCUAAGGUGCUCGAGAGAUUCAUGGCUAAGGAACUAGGCAAAAUAGACCUGUAACUUCGGGAGAAAGGUCGCCCUGAGCAAUCAGGGCCGCAGUGAAUAGGUCCAGGCGACUGUUUAUCAAAAACACAGGGCUAUGCUAAAUCGAAAGAUGACGUAUAUGGCCUGACACCUGCCCGGUGCCGGAAGGUUAAGAGGAGAUGUUAGCUUCGGCGAGGCAUUGAAUUGAAGCCCCGGUAAACGGCGGCCGUAACUAUAACGGUCCUAAGGUAGCGAAAUUCCUUGUCGGGUAAGUUCCGACCUGCACGAAUGGUGCAACGAUCUGGACACUGUCUCAGCCAUGAGCUCGGUGAAAUUGUAGUAUCGGUGAAGAUGCCGGUUACCCGCUACGGGACGAAAAGACCCUGUGAACCUUUACUAUAGCUUAGUAUUGACUUUGGAUAAGUAAUGUGUAGGAUAGGUGGGAGACUUCGAUCAUGCGUCGCCAGGCGUGUGUGAGUCAUUGUUGAAAUACCACCCUUUGCUUAUUCGAAGCCUAACUCAGAGAUGAGGACAGUGCUUGGUGGGUAGUUUGACUGGGGUGGUCGCCUCCAAAAGAGUAACGGAGGCUUCUAAAGGUUCCCUCAGUACGGUUGGUAAUCGUGCGUAGAGUGCAAUGGCAUAAGGGAGCUUGACUGAGAGACCUACAAGUCGAUCAGGUACGAAAGUAGAGCAUAGUGAUCCGGUGGUUCCGUAUGGAAGGGCCAUCGCUCAAAGGAUAAAAGGUACUCCGGGGAUAACAGGCUGAUCUCCCCCAAGAGCUCACAUCGACGGGGGGGUUUGGCACCUCGAUGUCGGCUCGUCACAUCCUGGGGCUGGAGAAGGUCCCAAGGGUUGGGCUGUUCGCCCAUUAAAGUGGCACGCGAGCUGGGUUCAGAACGUCGUGAGACAGUUCGGUCUCUAUCUGUAGUGGGCGUUAGAAAUUUGAGUGGAUCUGACUUUAGUACGAGAGGACCGAGUUGGACGAACCGCUGGUGUAUCUGUUGUUCCGCCAGGAGCACUGCAGAGUAGCUACGUUCGGAAGGGAUAAGCGCUGAAAGCAUAUAAGCGCGAAACCCACCACAAGAUGAGAUUUCUUUAAAGGGUCGUGAUAGACGAUCACGUUGAUAGGCUAUAGGUGUAAAGGCAGUAAUGUCAUAGCCGAGUAGUACUAAUAACCCAUAGGCUUAUG
rnacentral:rRNA from 1 species